ensembl:lncRNA
GCUCCCCCCCCACCCGGAUUCUCAGGUGCGGGCAUACCCCAUGAGGGAUUCUGGGAGUUAUAGUCCAGCAAUGGGAAUUUUCCAAGCUCCUCAGCUCAUCUCAUUUUUUGCUGUUAACUCCAGCAGAUUCCCCCAGUGUCCAGUGUGUGGCUGAGAGUUUUCCAUUCCCACGGUUAGAAAAUGAUUGGGGGGUGGGGAGAGAAAAAGCAAAUUAAUGCUUAAUAACUUGAAUAACAGGAAAGCAGCUUCCUGCUUGGCCUGCCGGAACUUUGGAGAUAAUCACCGGCAGGAUCCAAGGUCCCCUUGCCAUCGGGGACGGAGCCAUGGUGUCACUCCCAUGCCCUUGGCCGGUUGGGAGACUGACACAGGCCUCUCCUCCGGCUGGUGGUUUUGUUCAGGAGCAUCCCUGAUCUUCACAUUCCUGCCCCGCCUCCCUGCAUUUUCAAGGCAGAGGAAGCAAUUCUGCCCUCCACCCCUCAGCUUAAUAGGCCCUUUCCUGGCCCUGAUGGCACCCUCAGGCAGCAGCAACUUCCUAAAUCACUUUGAAUUGAUUUCAAGCACUGGCAGGGAGGGUGGGCUUCAGGGCCCCUUAAUCCCUGCUGAGUCGGAAGGCUUUAAUAGGGAAAUGUUGUUUGGCGGAAAGCGAGAAGGAACAAACACUCCUCCGUUGGCAACUGCUGAAGUAAAGAAAAAAAGGAUGGGGCAUUCAUAAUGGGAAGCAAAUGCUCUUCUGUCAGCCAGAGCAUGAAAGUAACAAGUUACAUGUAAUGGUGGGCUGUACAAGAUGCUACAGAGAGUUCAUUGUUAGAAGUGGCAGAUCCUUAAGCCAUGUGAUCUUAAUCCCACAGGCUUUUCUCAUCUCCUGUAGGUUGUAAAUUAUUUUGCUUUAUUCUGUGACUAGUAAUCAGGAAUUAAAAUGCUGUCUUAGUUUACAUUCUGAUUGCUCUGGCAGAUGCUCUCUACUUCCAGAGAAUUAUGUGGUGUUUUUUUUGUGUGUGUUAAGUAUAGAGUCUCAAUUGAGCCAUAGUUACUACUUGUAAUAAGCUAUUUACUUUUAGUGUAGCAAAGUUACAUUCCAGAAAUAAUGUGAGCAUUAAGUUAUUUUGCAGGUGCAGUGAGUAACAUUUUCUAGUUUUUAAAAGAUAUAUUUCAAGGAUAUUUUCAGACAUUUUAAAGACAUUUUGACUUGGGUUUUAAAUUCUCUUUUCAGACCGUUUUCUUUACAUUGCUUUUAAAAAGAAAAUAAUAACUAUCAGUGCAACAAAUUACUUUUAAGCAUUGUAACAAGUCGAUAACAAAGAAUAAUGACUAACAGGAACAAAUUACUUGUUAAAAGUAACUUACAGAGUGUGCUGAUAAAACUAAAGGGCUGGAACAACUGUUACUAGAUUGAUGAGUGUGGGAGAGACCUACUGGAUUUGAUCCACAUGGGCGGGCAAGCCUUGGACACCUGUCUGCACCACAUCUGGCCUAAACAGCCAGGUGAACUCUUUGGCUCUUUGAUGUCUUCAGUUCAUCACGGCUCAUUCAAGUCAGUCCCUUCUCUGUCAAGGUUGCCAGUAACUCUUCCCACCCCUCCAGGUUAAUGGACGAGAAGCGUGGACUGCACU